AGAGUUUGAUCAUGGCUCAGGACGAACGCUGGCGGCGUGCCUAACACAUGCAAGUCGAGCGGGGAUUGCAGCAAUGUGAUCUUAGCGGCGGACGGGUGAGUAACGCGUGGGUAACCUGCCUUACACAGGGGGAUAACACAGGGAAACUUGUGCUAAUACCGCAUAACGUCACUGGAUGGCAUCAUCUGGUGACCAGAGGAGCAAUCCGGUGGAAGAUGGACCCGCGUCCGAUUAGCUAGUUGGCGGAGUAAAAGCCCACCAAGGCGACGAUCGGUAGCCGAACUGAGAGGUUGAUCGGCCACAUUGGGACUGAGACACGGCCCAGACUCCUACGGGAGGCAGCAGUGGGGAAUAUUGCGCAAUGGGGGGAACCCUGACGCAGCAACGCCGCGUGAAGGAUGAAGGCCUCCGGGUUGUAAACUUCUUUAGCCAGGGACGAAGAAUGACGGUACCUGGAGAAUAAGCCACGGCUAACUACGUGCCAGCAGCCGCGGUAAUACGUAGGUGGCGAGCGUUGUCCGGAAUUACUGGGUGUAAAGGGCGUGUAGGCGGGACUUGUAAGUCAGGUGUGAAAUUCCGGGGCUCAACCCCGGAGCUGCACCUGAAACUAUGGUUCUUGAGUGCUGGAGAGGAAAGCGGAAUUCCUAGUGUAGCGGUGAAAUGCGUAGAUAUUAGGAGGAACACCAGUGGCGAAGGCGGCUUUCUGGACAGUAACUGACGCUGAGGCGCGAAAGCGUGGGGAGCAAACAGGAUUAGAUACCCUAGUAGUCC
rnacentral:rRNA from 1 species